GGCGGACGGGUGAGUAACACGUGGAUAACCUACCUAUAAGACUGGGAUAACUUCGGGAAACCGGAGCUAAUACCGGAUAAUAUUUUGAACCGCAUGGUUCAAAAGUGAAAGACGGUCUUGCUGUCACUUAUAGAUGGAUCCGCGCUGCAUUAGCUAGUUGGUAAGGUAACGGCUUACCAAGGCAACGAUGCAUAGCCGACCUGAGAGGGUGAUCGGCCACACUGGAACUGAGACACGGUCCAGACUCCUACGGGAGGCAGCAGUAGGGAAUCUUCCGCAAUGGGCGAAAGCCUGACGGAGCAACGCCGCGUGAGUGAUGAAGGUCUUCGGAUCGUAAAACUCUGUUAUUAGGGAAGAACAUAUGUGUAAGUAACUGUGCACAUCUUGACGGUACCUAAUCAGAAAGCCACGGCUAACUACGUGCCAGCAGCCGCGGUAAUACGUAGGUGGCAAGCGUUAUCCGGAAUUAUUGGGCGUAAAGCGCGCGUAGGCGGUUUUUUAAGUCUGAUGUGAAAGCCCACGGCUCAACCGUGGAGGGUCAUUGGAAACUGGAAAACUUGAGUGCAGAAGAGGAAAGUGGAAUUCCAUGUGUAGCGGUGAAAUGCGCAGAGAUAUGGAGGAACACCAGUGGCGAAGGCGACUUUCUGGUCUGUAACUGACGCUGAUGUGC
rnacentral:rRNA from 1 species